rnacentral:tRNA from 1 species
GGUCUCUUGGUGCAAUGGUAACACGUCGCCCCAGCAUGGCGGAGAUUGAGGUUCAAAUCCUUGCGAGACCA